rnacentral:rRNA from 1 species
UAAAGCGUGGAGCUUAACUCCAUCAUGGCAGUGGAAACUGAAAGGCUUGAGUAUGGUAGGGGCAGAGGGAAUUCCCGGUGUAGCGGUGAAAUGCGUAGAUAUCGGGAAGAACACCAGUGGCGAAGGCGCUCUGCUGGGCCAUUACUGACGCUCAUGGACGAAAGCCAGGGGAGCGAAAGGGAUUAGAUACCCCCUGUAGUCCUGGCCGUAAACGAUGAACACUAGGUGUCGGGGGAAUCGACCCCUUCGGUGUCGUAGCUAACGCGUUAAGUGUUCCGCCUGGGGAGUACGCACGCAAGUGUGAAACUCAAAGGAAUUGACGGGGGCCCGCACAAGCGGUGGAGUAUGUGGUUUAAUUCGAUGCAACGCGAAGAACCUUACCAGGGUUUGACAUCCUGCGAACCUCUUAGAAAUUUGAGGGUGCCUUCGGGAAUGCAGUGACAGGUGGUGCAUGGCUGUCGUCAGCUCGUGUCGUGAGAUGUUGGGUUAAGUCCCGCAACGAGCGCAACCCACGUUUUUAGUUGCCAGCAUUUAGUUGGGCACUCUAGAAAGACCGCCGGUGAUAAACCGGAGGAAGGUGUGGAUGACGUCAAGUCAUCAUGCCCCUUACACCCUGGGCUACACACGUACUACAAUGCUACGGACAAAGGGCAGCAAACUCGCGAGAGCUAGCAAAUCCCAUAAACCGUAGCUCAGUUCAGAUCGUAGGCUGCAACUCGCCUACGUGAAGUAGGAAUCGCUAGUAAUCGCAGGUCAGCAUACUGCGGUGAAUACGUUCCCGGGCCUUGUACACACCGCCCGUCACACCAUGGAAGUUGGCCAUGCCCGAAGUCGUUACUCCAACCCUUGUGGAGGAGGACGCCGAAGGUGGGGCUAAUGACUGGGGUGAAGUCAUAACAAGGUAA